rnacentral:misc_RNA from 1 species
AAAUCCAGUUCAAACCAGUUUGGAAGCCCGGUGGACAAGGAGCGAAACCACGCGGUUUGAACAAUAUCAACGCAGUAAAUGGUUGUUUCCGUUUUUGGUUGUGACAUUUUGUAGCCAUGAGUUAUGGAAGAGGACCCCCAGCUAUUGAGGGAAUGAGCUCCCUCAAAGUUGAUAACCUAACAUACAGAACAACCCCAGAAGAUCUGAGAAGAGCAUUCGAGAAAUAUGGCGACGUAGGAGAUGUGUACAUCCCUCGUGACCGCUUUACGCGGGAAAGCAGAGGUUUUGCCUUUGUUCGAUUUUAUGAUAAGCGUGAUGCCGAAGAUGCAAUGGACUCUAUGGAUGGAGCAAUUAUGGAUGGCAGAGAAAUACGUGUGCAAAUGGCACGCUAUGGCAGACCAGUAGAUCCUUACAGGCGCGCUCCACCAAGCCGUCAUGGCCGACGCUCAAGAUACAGCAGAUCCCGCUCACGGUCAAGAUCACGAUCAGGAAGACGAAGAAGGCGGUCUAGUGGGUCAAGAAGCCGAUCAAGGAGUCGUUCAUAUAGUCGUAGUAGAAGUAGGAGCAGGAGUCGCAGCAAAAGCCGAAGUAGGAGUCGCAGCAAAAGCCGAAGUAGAAGUCGCAGCAAGAGCAGGAGCAGAAGUAAGAGCAGGAGCAGAAGCAAUGAAAAAGAAAGGUCGAGGUCGCCUUCACAUGCAAGGUCUGAUGCAUCAGGUGGAUCAGCAAAAGAGAAUGGAAUGGAUCAGAGGAACUGAGCUGUUGCUGUAGCAAGGGACUCCAGUGUCGUGAUGCGGCCAUUCCAGUUCCUCGAAUAAACCUUGCCCGUGAUAAUGUGUCCUUUGCAGAAAUUGUCAAAAGGAGCGGUAAAGGGGUAAUAAAUGCAGUGCAGUAAUGUUAGCUGUGUGGUAUGCUGAGUGUCUACCGGGCGGGCAGUCAGUCGCAGUGGCUGAGUGGCUGGUUGAUGCUGCUGCUGUCGGUUCCUGCAGAGUAGCUGGUGGACUAACAGCAGAGCUGAUACUGCUGAUCUUAAAGCUGACCGUGAUGCAGUUCCAGAAACACCACUAAAUUGUUUGGCUAUACAAAUCAGUUCACCUUGGAAAUGUAGUGUGUGUGUAUAUAUAUAUAUAUAGUUCAUGGAUACAGUUAAGUUUUAUGCCAGCAGACAAUGUUUUGUUAGGUAAUUUUGUAAAUCAUUUACAUUAAGGUAUUCAUUAUUUCUAGAGAAAAUGAGAUCAACUUUUAAAAACUAAAGCUAAUGCUUUGUGUAAUCAAAUUUUUCAUUCCUAACAUUUUAGUGUUGCUUCUAUAUACAGUAUGAUCUUGUACAGGGUUUUAAAUCAAGAUGAACUGAUUUGUCUUCUAAAUUUUAUAAAAGAUAAGUAGUCCUGGUUGACUACUGUAUUUUAAUUUUAAGUUUCUUUGGUUAACUUGGGAGAAUGACAAUGGCCAAGUUUUAAGAAACAUUUAUAAGUACUAAAUCACCGAGUUGUCACUCGUCAUUCUUUCCUUUUUUUAUGUACUCCCAAGAAUUAACUUCAUUCCAACACAUUUGAAAUACAUUUAAAGGAACAAAAUUCUUCGCAGUGGACCCUGUUAAACGUGAACAUUACUUUCAAAGUUUUGAUCUGUCAUAAUGAGCUUUUUGAAAUGAGAAUGUUUCUGCUUACAUAGUUGCGUAAUUUCCUCCCAGUUAACUCGGCUUUUCAUUUGCCUUUUGGUAAUAUUACUAAUAGUUUUGGCCAUGGGAGAAUUUCUUAUUGAUGUAUCGAGUUGACAAACUAGAUGACACUGGUUUCAACAGAAGAGUUCUGAUGGUGCAAGAUCUGGUUGGUAUAAAUCUUAUUACAGAUGUGUAACUUGGGAUUGCCAUGUUUUCAAAGAAUGACCUGGCAUUAUGGAACUGGUUACUGUAUUGAUUGCUAUUUAAACUAUUUUUGCAUUGAAAUGAGCGUUUCAGUAAAAUGGAUGUAAGUUGACUAGUGAAUUAUGCAGUUCUCCCUAUCAGUCUGCAAUUUCUUGGGUAAUGAGAAGUCAAAACAUUGGCAUCUUUGGAAUAAAUAACUGAAAUUGGUAAAAAAGCAAGAAAUACUGUUACAUGCUUGGGGCACGGGUAUUUCAUCCACUCACAUUUGAAAAUAGUCUUCCAUCAUUUCAUGAGAAAAUGACCCUGGGGAUAGAGAAGAUAAGGAAAACAUGGGUCUCAAAUGUAGAUCAAUUUAUACACAGGUUUGUGGUGUAGACAAUCAACAGUUCCAUAUUAGAAACAAUUGUUGGCUCUUCCAGAAUGCAUCUGUCUUUUUCUUGAUACAUGUAGCAGCAUCCCAGGAGAGGUAAGGUGACAUUUGUUUUGCAGUUGAGGGCCAAUGACGACAGAUUUCAACAUUCUCAUGCGAAAUUGGAAUAAAAGUGAAGAAACUA